GGUCGAUUUUAUUGAGUCUAAAACGUUCGUAGCCGGUCUGGUAAAUCCUUGGGUAAAUCGGGGAGCUCAACUUUCCGAAUUCCGAGGAGACUGCCAGACUUGGGACCGGGAGAGGCUAGAGGUACUUCUGGGGUAGGGGUAAAAUCCUGUAAUCCUAGAAGGACCACCGGUGGCGAAGGCGUCUAGCUAGAACGGAUCCGACGGUGAGGGACGAAGCCCUGGGUCGCAAACGGGAUUAGAUACCCCGGUAGUCCAGGGUGUAAACGCUGCAGACUUGGUGUUGGAGGCCCUUCGGGGGCAUUCAGUGCCGGAGAGAAGUUGUUAAGUCUGCUACUUGGGGAGUACGUCCGCAAGGAUGAAACUUAAAGGAAUUGGCGGGGGAGCACCGCAACGGGAGGAGCGUGCGGUUUAAUUGGAUUCAACACCGGAAAACUCACCAAGGGCGACCAUUACAUGAAAGCCAGGCUAAUGACCUUGCUAGAUUUUUGGAGAGGUGGUGCAUGGCCGUCGUCAGUUCGUACCGUAAGGCGUUCUCUUAAGUGAGAUAACGAACGAGACCCUCACUGAUAAUUGCUAAUCUAUUCUCCGGAGUAGAUGCACAUUAUUGGGACCGCUGACGCUAAGUCAGAGGAAGGAGAGGUCAACGGUAGGUCAGUAUGCCCCGAAUCUCUUGGGCUACACGCGCGCUACAAAGGGCGGGACAAUGGGCUCCGACGCCGAGAGGCGAAGGUAAUCUCGAAACCCGUCCAUAGUUCGGACUGAGGGUUGUAACUCACCCUCACGAAGCUGGAUUCCGUAGUAAUCGCGAAUCAACAACUCGCGGUGAAUAUGCCCCUGCUCCUUGCACACACCGCCCGUCAAACCAUCCGAGUUGGGUUUCAGUGAGGUGGCCUUUAAUUGGGGUCUUCAAACUGAGAUUUAGCAAGGAAGGUUAAGUCGUAACAAGGUAUCUGUAGGGGAACCUGCAGAUG
rnacentral:rRNA from 1 species